GAACGCUAGCGACAGGCCUAACACAUGCAAGUCGAGGGGCAGCAUGAAAUUAGCUUGCUAAUUUUGAUGGCGACCGGCGCACGGGUGAGUAACACGUAUGCAACCUGCCUGUAAGCGGGGGAUAACCCGGAGAAAUCCGGACUAAUACCCGAUGGCAUGCAUUUCCGGCAUCGGAGAUGCAUUAAAGAUUUUAUCGGUGACGGAUGAGGAUGCGUACGAUUAGCUGGUUGGCGGGGUAACGGCCCACCAAGGCAACGAUCGUUAGGGGUUCUGAGAGGAAGGUCCCCCACACUGGAACUGAGACACGGUCCAGACUCCUACGGGAGGCAGCAGUGAGGAAUAUUGGUCAAUGGGCGAGAGCCUGAACCAGCCAAGUAGCGUGAAGGAUGACUGCCCUACGGGUUGUAAACUUCUUUUGUUUGGGAAUAAAAGGCGCUACGUGUAGCGUUCUGCAUGUACCUUACGAAUAAGCAUCGGCUAAUUCCGUG
rnacentral:rRNA from 1 species